rnacentral:rRNA from 1 species
GGUCCCUACGGGAGGCAGCAGUGAGGAAUAUUGGUCAAUGGGAGAGAUCCUGAACCAGCCAAGCCGCGUGAGGGAAGACGGCCCUAUGGGUUGUAAACCUCUUUUGUCGGAGAACAAAACCCGGGACGUGUCCCGGACUGCGUGUAUCCGAAGAAAAAGCAUCGGCUAACUCCGUGCCAGCAGCCGCGGUAAUACGUAGGUGGCAAGCGUUAUCCGGAUUUACUGGGUGUAAAGGGCGUGUAGGCGGGACUGCAAGUCAGAUGUGAAAAUUAUGG